rnacentral:rRNA from 1 species
UACAGAGGUGGCAAGCGUUGUUCGGAAUUACUGGGCGUAAAGGGCGCGUAGGCGGCCUUCUAAGUCAGACGUGAAAUCCCCCGGCUUAACCUGGGAACUGCGUCUGAUACUGGGAGGCUUGAGUAUGGGAGAGGGAUGUAGAAUUCCAGGUGUAGCGGUGAAAUGCGUAGAUAUCGGGAGGAACACCGGUGGCGAAGGCGGCUCUCUGGAACGCAACUGACGCUGAGACGCGAAAGCGUGGGGAGCAAACAGG